rnacentral:rRNA from 1 species
AUUGAACGCUGGCGGCAGGCCUAACACAUGCAAGUCGAGCGGGGUUUUCGGACCUAGCGGCGGACGGGUGAGUAAUGCGUAGGAAGCUACCCGAUAGAGGGGGAUACCAGUUGGAAACGACUGUUAAUACCGCAUAAUGUCUACGGACCAAAGUGUGGGACCUUCGGGCCACAUGCUAUCGGAUGCGCCGACGUGGGAUUAGCUAGUUGGGGAGGUAAUGGCUCACCAAGGCGACGAUCUCUAGCUGGUUUGAGAGGAUGAUCAGCCACACUGGAACUGGGACGCGGGCCAGACCCCUACGGGAGGCAGCAGUGGGGAAUAUUGGACAAUGGGCGAAAGCCUGAUCCAGCCAUGCCGCGUGUGUGAAGAAGGCCUUCGGGUUGUAAGCACUUUCAGCGAGGAGGAAGGGUUGUGUGUUAAUAGUACACAGCCUUGACGUUACUCGCAGAAGAAGCACCGGCUAACUCUGUGCCAGCCGCCGCCGUAAAAC